rnacentral:lncRNA from 1 species
UUUAUAGUAAAAAAUGACUCAAUUCAAUAAAAUUAGUUUUUCCAAACAGUCAUUACCAUCUGCAAGAAUUAUUACUAGGGAUUAGACACCAUUCCAGUUACCAAUAUUCCAAAGAACUGCUUGCUUCAGAAGUUAUAUUAAAACAAGGCAUGGACCUUGACAUACAUGCAUUAUCAAUAAAGGAAUGGAGGUCAGAGAAAUAGGAACAGUGAAACCCUCAAUGGGGCUGAUGAAUCUAGAUGGAAUUUCUGUAACUUAGUGAUUGUAAUAUCUAAAAUAAUAGAACUAAGAUUAAAGCAGCAUACUUGAACGCAUACAACCAGCAAAGUCAUCAACUAAGGAACAUCAAAGAUCUUCAAAUAAAAUAAAACAUAUGGCAGAAUGAAAAAAAUGUCACUUGCGAUGGAUAAAACUUGUUGGGGCUUAGGAAGGCUCUGACACCAUAUAAAUGCAAGUGACAGUGAAAAAAAAAAGAUAUUGAUUUUAUUCAAUGGCAGCAAGCAUAUUAAUACGUCAAAGAAGCCUAGAGAUACUCCUCUUCUAUAGGAGACUUAUUUGCAGAUGAUACUAACAAACAACAAAAUUCAAAACAAAGGAAAACAGCAGCAAAUUCAAAAUAAAUGAUAACAGAAAAUUUCAAAUAAAGGCUAACACCAGAAAGUUCAAACACAUGCUUAAUAGAAAGAACCUGCAAAUGCCCUCGAAGGCCAGACCUCAGAAUAGUUUCGUCAAUUGUGACACUAUUGCAUUGAAGACUUCUCCACAUCUACUACUACCGGUAUACCAGUGCCAUCAUUAAUCAUAAGACCAUGAAUUAUAUCAACAAUAAUAACAAUAACAACAAAGAAGAGGGAAGGAGAAUAAGAAUCACCAAAACCAAUAAUGACAAGUAGUUGGAAGGAUGGAGGCUGACAUUGAUGCCAUAGCAACCUCUCCACACAAAGUAUCCGAGGGCUAUGAGCAAAAUAAUACCAAAGAUUGUGUGGUAAAAGAUAUCUUCAAAAUUGCCUUAAAUAGUAGUCUCGUAUAAGUCCCAGAAAUAAACACUAUCUGCUCUGCACUUUUGACUAAGCCUGAAGACAAUAUCUGACUUCAAUAAACCUAAAAGCGAAAUUAAAAAGAGCCUUCAGAUCUCAUAGUGAUGUAGAAUAUUUUAUUUUUAUUAUAAUAUUUUAUCAUGUCAGUUUUAUCUUAUAAUAUCUAUUUUAAAUAUUAGAUAUAUUACAGACGGCUAGGGUUAUUAAGUAUUUUAGGGUUUAAAUCCAGGACUAGAAUAAAAUUUAUUUGCAAGAAAGCCUAGUAACUUUACUUCCAAGAAAGAAAGGCAAUAUAAAUAAGUUGUAGGCUUUAUAGCCAUAAUUAUUGUUCUUAUUGUUUUUCUUGAAUCAAUAGAAAAACUAGAGGUUUUCUAUAACCCUAAGUUUUCUAGACUUGCAUCUUCUUUACUAAUCGUUUGUUUAGCCCUAAUUCUUUCUAUUGUUGCUAUUUUCUCCCCAAAAUCACAUCACAUAGCUAUGCCAAAAUCAUGGACAGUUCACUGUAAAGGCAUUCACCAAUAGCUCUUAACACACCACCAGCAAUAAUAAAUAAAAUAAAUAAAUAUACACGCAUACAUACAAACAUAGAUAAUACGUAUGUGUAUAUUGACAGAGAAUGAAACAGGCAGUGUGUAAAGCUAGAGAUAAAUUGAAACACUCACAAUGCACAAGCUAACAUUGGAUAGUGACAUUACAACUGAAAUUUAUAAAGUGAAUAGCAGCAAAAGUAAGAAAUAAAGCAUUAAGGGGAGAUUAGCAGAAAACACUCACAAUGCACAAGCUAGGAUUGAAUGAAUCUGAAUAUCGGCAACCCUUUCUUGCAGACAACUUACAAUUCCAUGCUUGAAAUUCAAUUAUACAGGGAUACCUGUGUCCAAUAUUCACACAUGAAUUAGAGUAACGUAAAUGAAAAUCUCAUACGCCAAAGAAACAAAGUUGCAACAGUGUGGCAUGAUAAAGGCAGACAUGAAGAAUCACAAAAGCCCUCAGAUCUCAUACUAUGAUGGGUCAUUUGCAGUGUUUAAACUAACUGAUUUUCAUUACGAGCCUUCACCAUAUCAGCAGCCAUGUUGAUAUGAAGAAAGAGAGAACGAAAGAGAAAGAAAGAGAGCUGUUCUUCAUAGGAAACAGAAAUGGGAAAAUAAAGAAAAGGGAAAAAAAGAGAGAGAUGAUAUUGAAUGUUUGAUGCCAUUGCUGAUAGCAAAGGUCAGGAAUGAAAAUAAAAAAUAACUGCUCCAUUUCAAUGAGUUCUCAAUCAUUGGGCCAAAAAGAAGCUGCAAAAUGAAUUUGCAAAAGCACAAUUGUAGUUUUUAAACAUAAAAUGUUGAAAUAAAAGAAAAUACCCAUAUCUACUAUGCAGUAAUCAAUCAACAGUGAAAAGUCUGAGCAUUCAAGAAUUAACUUCCUCACUCUAAAUAAGAUGCUACUAACAUUGAUACUAAAAAAACCUCUCAAUUCAAUAAAUUUAGUUUUUCCUAAUCGUCACUACCAAUGACUCGAGUUAUUACUUUGAAUCAAACACCAUUCCAGUUACCAAUAAUCCCAAAGAACUGCUUGCUUCGGAAGUUGUAUUAAAACAAGGCAUGGACCCCGACAUGCAUGCAUUAUCAAUAAAGGAAUGGAGGUAAAAAAAUAUAAGACCAAUGCAGCACUAGAUCAGGCUGACGAUUCUAGAUGGAUUUUCAAACAGAUUCUGAAACUUAGUAAUUGUAACAUGUAAA